CCAAAACCCUCCUUCGACGACACUUCGUUUGCUCCUCCGCGCACCGAUACUCGCCGCGAGAGAUGGCCUCCGUCGCCGCCAGAUCCAUUUUCCGGUCGGCCUCCGCCCGCAGCGCCGCGUCGCGGGUGGCGUCCGGGGCCGCCAAACCCGCCCGGUCCGCGCCCCGCGCCGCCGCGACCAACCGGCCCCUCUCUCAUCGGAUUUUCAGGAGCCCCGUGGAGAUGAGCGCCUGCGCGGAGACGAUGCUGCCGUACCACACCGCUACUUCCUCGGCAUUGAUGACUUCGAUGCUCUCCAUCACUCGCCGCUCCUAUGGAUGGCUUCCCGAUGGUAUCUAACCAUCACUCGUAGGCCACCUUGAUAGCCUUUUCUUGCUUUAUAUCUUCUGCUUGCAAUGAUGAUGUAUGACCAAGGCAUCGGCACAAGUAUUGUCAAAGAGUUCAUGCAUCUGAGAGAUCGUGCAACGAGGUCCUGGCAAUCCCAUUAUGGAAUUUUCUCUCUUUGGUUCUCGUUUUCUCCUCUUGACUUUCCUUCUAAAAGUAUCCUCUUGCACAUUUAGGAUCAAAGCUGUCAUGUUUUUCAAUCUGUUCUUUCUUUAUUACCCCGACGAUAAAGCUUUUAAAGCUGUAUUGCUACAUUUCUUCUUUAGUUCAUUAUGACGAUAAUGUAAUGGCAUAGAGCAGUUUGUUUAGACCUUGCAAAA